GCUGCCUCCUGCACAUCCCCCACCGGGAAUGUGCCCGCAACCCAGGUACAUGCCCUUGACCGGAAUCGAACCCGGGACCUCUCAGUCCGCAGGCAGACGCUCUAUCCACUGAGCCAAACUGGUUUCGGCAAAAUCACAUUUUGGAAACAAAUGCUUUUCCAAAUAGAAGAUAAAAAUGGACCCAGCAGUUUUGUUGUUGCUGUUAAUCACUCUAGCUGUGAAUACUUUCCUGGUUAUCCAACAAACAUGUUAAAUUCAAUGGGGGGAAGAAAUUUGUCUAUGCCUUCAAAUAGUUUAUAACCUAGUUGGUCUGGUCAGGGUGUGAUUGUCACGGUAUGUUAUGGGAGGCAGGAUCUAAUAAAUGUCCUUGGGGGAGAACAAACAAAAUGUGAGGGGGAUUCAGUCAAGAAAGGAAUUGAGCCCUGUUGUGGGAUUAGGGGAAUGAAAGAAAAAUUCCAUUGCGCAUAACAUACAUCUCAUCUACUUACAUGUUACCCUGGAUUUAUUUUAGGGUACUUUUUUUUUUUUUAACUUUUAUCCCACCUCUGAUAUUCAUUCUGCCCUUGUGCCUUAUAUCUUUUCCUUUCAUUUGUUAGCUUCUUUCUUCCCCAGUGGUUUUGCCUGCUAAAAAUAGAUGAACAAUUGGUCUGAAGCUGCAAGGGAGCCAAGAUGAUGCAAAGGCUGUAGAAAAUCUAUGCCAUGGACCAUGAGCUGUGAGCUGACCUAGAUGCAAGAUGACCUAGGACAACAAAAUGUCUGAAUCAUUGUUCCAGCAAUAAACAUAUUUUCCAAAUGUGUUGGAGUAUGAGGUCAGAAAAGAGUUUUGGACUUGUGAACUUAUUAAAUAAAAAUUCUCAUUGAGAAGUAAACAUUAAAUCACAUUGUUCAUGCAUAUUCCAAAACUGUUAUUGAAAGCAAUGAAACAACCCAAAAUUAAGAUGAUCAAAGAAAAUCUUGGGCUUUGGGGCAUGAUUUCUUCAUUGAUGGAACUGUAAAACAAAUGUAUAGGAAACCCCUGUGGUGCUGCCUGCCUGCUACCGCAGCCCCAGGUCAUCAUUAUCCGCUGCUGGCUCGUCCUGCACACAGUCCUUCCUGCCUCACAAGUGUGAGGAGAGUAUGACCUGAGCCUUUCCGAUGUUUCAGCUGUCCUUCACCUCCACAUCUUGGCCUCCGUGAGGUCUUCUUCUGUGAUGGCUGGUUAAUUCUCAUCAUACCUGUAGGGGAGGAAAAUAAUCUUUCUCUGUCCUCUUAGGUUUGUACCCGGAACCUGCAAAUUAAACUCACAAAGACAGGUUAACAGGAGGAAAAGCAAACAAUGUUAAUUGAUGUUAAUUUUUUUUUUUACAGGUGCACAGGGACUUCCCAGAAAAGAAAUGAAAAUCCAAAGAAGUAGUUAGACCCAGGGGCUUACACGCCAUUUUAACAAAGGACAAUAAAUUGUCAAGAAAACCACUGGACUAGACAAAAGAAAGGGGCUUUGGGCUUCUGGAGCUGAUAAGUUGUGGGAAGGUGAGUAGGAAUAAAUGGGGGGAAGUAAUGGUACAUAAGGGCUAUUUAGUAAGGUUAUUUGUGCAGACUCAUCUUGGUUCCAUCACUGCCUCUGGUGAUAAAGAUUGAUCGCUUCCUGGUGGGGCAGAAGGAGACACCUGCACACGGGCAAUUUACGGCCUGCUUUUAGGCAGAUGGGAAGGGUGACGGAGAGCUCUUUUUAUGUCUGCUUUUUCCAGUUGCCUUUAGUUCAAAAUAACCCGUAUGCCAGAAUGGCAUAUUCUAUCCUCGUUACAGCCAUAUCACAGCUUGACCAGGUGGUCGGCAGUGCAAAAAAAGGUGUCAGAAUUUCAACUAGAACUUUGCUUGAAUGAGGAGCAGGUCCCAUUCCGCCAACAGUGGCUCUAGAAACUAGUCCUUUAGAAACCCGAGAGUCCUUACUUCUGCAUGUUCUGGUAGACAGAAGGAAGGGGCCUAGAACCAACAAUUCCUAAAUAGUCAUCUCUAACUAUUUUAGCAAAAACCCCAAGGCCUUUGACACCCCGUGAGACUGAUCAAUUCACUUCAGUUGAAGAAUGGUUUUCUGAAGUCAGGGUCUGAACAGCCUCUCUCAGCUGGAUGGAAUUCUCAGAUUACCAGCGUCAGAAGGAACAGGAAUUAGCAUAACAAUCCACACGAUUUAUUCUCGGAGGGGAAUACCUAGGGUCCUCUUUAAGCAGUGGUUAAUUACAUCCUGCUAUUUAUCCCAUGUAUUAGGGCUUAACUAAUUAGCACCCUGCCAACUCUAUUUUUAAUCUAUUUCUCCCCCAACCCCCACCCCAACCCUAACUCCCGGUGCCCUGUGUCCUUUAUGCCACAGUCUUGAACCUCCCCACCAAGUAACUAGGUGACGAGGUCUGUCCUCUAGGCCACCAACGCCCUUUUUUUCAGGGCCCCUUUGGAUGCCACCCUGAGUCUGAGCCGCGUCCUCUCCAGACCUGGGUGUCAUUUGGUGCAAUGAGAACGGACACAUGCUUUGGGGCUGACGAAUGUGGUUUUCAAUGUGGGCUCUGCCAUCUAGCAGCUGGGGAACUUUGGGUAAGUUCUGCUCUUCACUUUCCACAUCUUUCCAAUGGGAAUGUCACUAACACCUAGACCAGUGAUCAGCAAACUCAUUAGUCAACAGAGCCAAAUAUCAACAGUACAACGAUUGAAAUUUCUUUUGAGAGCCACAUUUUUAAAACUUAAACUAUAUAGGUAGGUACAUUGUUAUUAACUUAAUUAGGGUACUCCUAAGCUGGCCUUUGGUAAAAACGUCCUCGAUCUGAUUGAGGUACACUCGCUGAGGUCGACCCCUUCCAACUCUCCCAUCCACACUAGUCUUGUAUACUUGUAUAAUUCACAUUAUAACCCCUGUUCAUAUUAUCUGCCUAGCAACACUGUAAGAUCUGCUCUUGGAUCUUGACAAAACUUCUACAGUCCUCAGGCCAG